rnacentral:rRNA from 1 species
AUUGAACGCUGGCGGCAGGCCUAACACAUGCAAGUCGAACGAGUGGCGGACGGGUGAGUAAUGUCUGGGCAACUGCCUGAUGGAGGGGGAUAACUACUGGAAACGGUAGCUAAUACCGCAUACCAUCGGAUGUGCCCAGAGGGGAUUAGCUAGUAGGGGGGGUAAAGGCUCACCUAGGCGACGUUCCCUAGCUGGUCUGAGAGGAUGACAAGCCACCAUGGAACUGAGACACGGUCCAGACUCCUACGGGAGGCAGCAGGGGGGAAUAUUGCACAAUGGGCGCAAGCCUGAUGCAGCCAUGCCGCGGGGAUGAAGAAGGCCUUCGGGUUGUAAAGUACUUUCAGCGGGGAGGCGUUACCCGCAGAAGAAGCACCGGCUAACUCCGUGCCAGCAGCCGCGGUAAUAC